CGAAGAGUAAGGCUGCUGCAGGCAAGUUAUGGACUUGAGCUGAAUCGGACUAAGGCGGGCAAGUGUGCAUUCAUAGAACCAAACCACAUCCUUACUUGCAGCGAGAGUGUGUGUUCGAUGUGGGCUCGUGGCAAAUAAAGUUCUUCCACUCUGACACCAUUCCCCGUCUCUGACCGGACGUUAUUACCAGGGGACAGUACCGAAUCACGUUUCAGAGAUAGUGGUCCAGGGCGUCCGCUAUAACAGCUUGUGUGAUGCCAUCAGCCACACAUGGUUACCUGGUUUUGGGUGGUGGCUGUUUCCUGUCUGGGCAAAAGGUGUGGCUGAGGAUUCUGAGAACAAAAUGCCUGCUCAGCAGGACCAACCAUGUGCUUAUCAGGAACAGGGGUGUUUUAGGUUAACUUAUGUUAUUCUGUACUUAGUUAAUAUUAGUGUGAGUUUUUGUUUUCCCCCUAUUGUGUGUAAAUGGUUUGACCAAACCACUGUAAAAGCUACCCUCUUGUGUCUUUGUAAUUAGGUCAUUUUGUGAGUAGUUUUAUGGGCCCGCUAAUUAUGUUUUUGAAUUUUGUCUUUUGAACCUUUUUGAGGGUUAAAAAAAGGAAAACCCUUUUUUGAAGACAUUUUUUUCAUGUGUCCUCUAUGCCUUGGCUGCUUGGUCCCUCACAGAUUGAAAAUUGUGAUUCCUGCAUGAAAUAUGACAAAGUUCCUCAAUCCAAAAUGGCCAACUUCUUCUGCAGUUUGGACAGAACCUGUGUGAUCUAAAUGGUUCAAGAAAGAAGAGACAUGACUACAUAAGGCAAAGGCUUAGGGAAUUUGGGUGCCUGCUGCUUAUACCUCGGAAAAAUAGCCCCAUUCAAAAGGCAGAGGAACUGAUUUAUCCUGUAAACUUCAACUAUUUGAUAUCUGCAGUGAAAGAGUUGGCACAAUCCUGAGAGAAAUACUUUCCAGAGACCUACCUACUUCUACUUGGAUCACCAUAUGAAGACUAUUAAAGGUGAUGCUGAAAGAAUGCUGAGAUUGUCUCCCCCGCCAUGUAGCUAAGAAAGCUUGCCAAAGUGACACUUGCUCAAGUGAUCAUUUUUAACAGAAGAAGAGAAGGAGAAGUAUCAAGAAUGGAAGUGUCCACCUUUAAAGACAGAAAAAAUCCAGAAAUCUAUAUGGACAUGGCUGCUUGCCUAACCUCACUUGAAAAAAAAGUGAUUUCUUCACCAGAGUAGAAACCUGUGGAAAACGAGGGAGAGGAGUUCCUAUUCUCCUAAAACCAUCAACGGUCUCUGCAAUGGAGCUUGUUGUGGAAACUCAUGAAUCUUGUGGUGUCCCUAAAGAGAACAUCUCCAUGUUUGCUAGACCAGGAGCUUUAUCUGCCUAUCGAAGAGGAGACUGUAUCCAAAUGUUUGCAAAGGAGAGUGGGGCCAAACACCCUGAAAUCUGAACAUCAAGAAGGCUUCGAAAGCAUAUACCAACAAUGUUGUGGUUGUUUAAUCUUAAAGAAAAUGAAGCAGACCAACUAGCAGACUUUCUGGGUCAUGACAUACGUGUGCAUAGGCAGUAUACCGCUUGCCUCAGGGAACACUUCAGCUUGCUAAGAUGAGCACAUUGCUUUUGGCACUGGAGAACAGAACUUUUUCACACUACAAAGGCCAAACACUUGAUGAUAUUUGACACUUGAUGAAGAAUUUUUAUUAGGAUGCUCUGAAAUAUAAUAAUAGAUUUUUAUAUUAAUAUUAAAUACUCUGGUGGUGUUUUGUUUUCUCUUAACUUUUAUUAAAAGUUGAUCUGCAAGAUUCAGAUACCUCAAGCGAUGAGAGUGAGCCUUUUCAUUCAACUCUGGAGGCAACAAAAACACAAGAGAACGAGACAACGGAUCAGGAUGGAAACAGGCAGCCGAGGUAACGCCACACGUUUGAACGCCACAAGAUUGUGCGGUACGUGCAGUUGAAAGACACAUAAUGCGUUUCAUCAACACAUGCAAGGUGCCUCAGAAGCUGGACUGCACUCAAUGCAUCAAUGCAGAACCCUAUGCAGUGAAAGACAGAAACUGUACUGGGGUAAGAAAUUAUGUCAGAAAUCACAUUAUUGCCUUAAAAAGAAAAGCUUGUGCAAUAGACUGAGGGCUGCUUGUGUCAAACUACUGUAUAGAGAAAUAUUGCUUAAAAUGAAAAUCUCUAGUGACUUUUGUUUUCUGUGGACUUGGAGGUGUAAAUUCAGUUGUGAGCCUGCUUCUAAACCAUACAGAAACUGGUAUCCCCAAAGGGUGGGAGUUAAAAAAAUGCAACCUCAAAUUGACUCAAGUGAGUCUGUGUGUGUGUUUGUUCCUGUUUCUUUAUAUAUUAUUUCCUAAGGUGGUUUGUUUUAUUUUGCUUGAUUUUGUCAUGAUCCUGGGUCCUUUUGACCCAGCGUUUUGUGUUUUCUAUUAGUGUUAUUUUUGGUUCUGUUCUUCCUCCUGCUUAGUGUUAUUCUGUUCUGCCCAUCUAUUCCUGUGUUAAGUCCGUGUUUCCUAGUCUGUGUUUUUGUGUGUAUGUGUUUCCUGUUUUAUUGUGAAGGUCUGCGUCUUAUGUGAGUGUUUUCAGUUUGCCUCCCUAGUCUUGUCACGUUAAUCACUCCCAGCUGUGUCCCCCACCUGUGUGUAAUCUCCCUGUGUUCUCUGAGUGUUUUUAAGUCGUGUCUUCUGUCUUAGUCAUUGCUGGUUUGUCUGUGUUCAUCCCCUUCAUCAUUCUGUGUCUGUUCCUCCGUGCUCCUGGUAAUUCUCCCUGCAAGGUACCCUCGUUCGUGUUCUGGUUUUGUGUUCGUUUUAGUUUUCCCAGUUUAGUGUAUUAUCUGUUAUUGUCCUCACCCCCCUUUCUGUUGUGUUGUAUUCCACCGUUUGUUAAUAAAGCUCACCCUCCACUUAAGCAGUCUGCAUCUUGGGUCCAUUACUAAUCUUCACACGGCCUACCUCGGCACCCUGUGACAGAUUUAUAGGUUUGUUUUAUUUUGCUUUAGUGGAGGAGUGACCACUUGUUGUGGGGACUAGACACGUGUAGUGGAAAUCCCUCUGAUGCAUGUCAGUGUACACACCGGGAAACAAAUAUAACGCGCUAUUUAAGUUGCAGUUAGAGUGGCAAUGAGGAUUGCAGAGACUGCAAGGGUGAGUAAAUGGUGGCACCCUUGGACACUCCUCCCUGUAGGUUGAGUCCCCAAGAGGCCAGUCUCCACGAUUUUAAGAAUUUUUCUGAGUUGCUAUUUUAACUAGGGCAGCAUUGUGGCAGCAAACCUUGUUCUUUUAAGUAAUGUUUGUUAAUGAAGUGUCUUAAUUAAUGGUUCGGUAUUGCUAGCCCUGCUACUUAAGAUGUUUUCUUUUCUGCAGUUGUAUAUUUGCAGUUGUUUUGUC